GACUUUCUCAUCGAUCUCCGAUCUCGCCUUCUCCAGUACCUGUGGAUUCCUCAGUAAAUUCGCCAUCGCCCACUCUAGUGUUACGGCGGAGGUCUCAGUCCCGGCGAGCAUCAUCGCCUUUAACAAACAAUCAGGUAAAAAUUGAAUUCAAAAUUCGUUCUAUUUCAAUUAAAUCAAGUUUUUUGAUGUGAUCAUGAUUCAUGAAUUAGACAUCUUACCAUCAUGAGGCCUUUGAUGGUAACGUCAGUGUAAUAGUGAGGUUGUUGUUGUUGUAGAGAGAUCAAAUGAUUGACCAUUGUGUUACCUUCUUUAUCUCUUCUACACUCAUCGAGCAAACGCUGCAAAAUCUCAUCCAUGGAUUUGCCAAUAGCUAUAACUUCCUUUUCGUAUUUGUUUCCGAAUAGUUUUAGAACUGGCAAGUAAUCAGCGGAAUGGUUAGCUCCGCUGUACACUGCGAUAUCGUAAACUAGCUUCUUGAAUAGCUCUGCUUCUUCCUUGUUGUUGACAUCGUCGCCGUAAUAUCGCUUCCCUGUAACCAUCCUUACUAUGUUGUUGAACGUUAGAUCGGAUAAGAGGGGUUCGAGCUCAAUGUGAGUGAAACUGCUGCUUCCGUUGGAGGCUUGCGUGGUGCGUGAAAUGCGCUUGAGCAUGCGCAAUAUCUCGUCUUUGCGGAUGUGUUGGAAGUUGUUGAG
rnacentral:lncRNA from 1 species